AUGAACGCUGGCGGCGUGCCUAAUACAUGCAAGUCGAGCGAACAGACGAGGAGCUUGCUCCUCUGACGUUAGCGGCGGACGGGUGAGUAACACGUAGAUAACCUACCUAUAAGACUGGGAUAACUUCGGGAAACCGGAGCUAAUACCGGAUAAUAUAUUGAACCGCAUGGUUCAAUAGUGAAAGACGGUUUUGCUGUCACUUAUAGAUGGAUCCGCGCCGCAUUAGCUAGUUGGUAAGGUAACGGCUUACCAAGGCGACGAUGCGUAGCCGACCUGAGAGGGUGAUCGGCCACACUGGAACUGAGACACGGUCCAGACUCCUACGGGAGGCAGCAGUAGGGAAUCUUCCGCAAUGGGCGAAAGCCUGACGGAGCAACGCCGCGUGAGUGAUGAAGGUCUUCGGAUCGUAAAACUCUGUUAUUAGGGAAGAACAAAUGUGUAAGUAACUAUGCACGUCUUGACGGUACCUAAUCAGAAAGCCACGGCUAACUACGUG
rnacentral:rRNA from 1 species